rnacentral:rRNA from 1 species
GAUAGCCCGAAGAAAUUCGAAUUAAUACCGCAUAUUCUCUAAGGAGAAAAGAAGGCCUCUUUACAAUGCUUUUACUAUUGGAUGAGCCUGCGUUAGAUUAUAUAGUUGGUAGGGUAAAAGCCUACCAAGGCGACGAUCUAUAGCUGGUUUUACGAGAAUGAUCAGCCACACUGGAACUGAGACACGGUCCAGACUCCUACGGGAGGCAGCAGUGAAGAAUAUUGGACAAUGGGGGAAACCCUGAUCCAGCAAUGUUGCGUGUGUGAAGAAGGUCCGAGGAUUGUAAAGCACUUUCAGUAAGCAAGAAAAGUGUAAAUCUAAUAGAUUUGCAUAUUGACCACUUAUAGAAGAAGCACCGGCUAACUCCGUGCCAGCAGCCGCGGUAAUACGGAGGGUGCGAGCGUUAAUCGGAAUUACUGGGCGUAAAGGGUAAGUAGGCGGUUUAUAAAGUCACAUGUGAAAGCCCUAGGCUUAACCUANGAAGUGCAUGUGAUACUCAUAAACUAGGGUUUGAUAGAGGAAAGUAGAAUUUCUGGUGUAGCGGUGGAAUGCGUAGAUAUCAGAAGGAAUAUCAGUUGUG